CAGGGUGAUGAACAGUGAGACAGACCUGAAAGACGUUCAGAUGAGCUGAAGCACUGCAUACAGACACUUACAACAUCAGUGGAAGACACAAUGGCCGACAGAGAAGGCAGAUCGAGUGAGAGGAAGACUAUGGACAGACGCAAUAGGAGUAUGGAUGGACGCCCCAAAAUGGACCGUAGUCCAGAUUUGGAUUUCCCUUACAAAAAUGAACCCAAAAUCAAAGAAAGAAUGAAGAAUAUAACAGCAUCAGCGACUGAAGAAAAACAUGGGGUGAGUAAUUAAACCAGCUACUGCCUUUUUUCAUAAUUUAUCAAUGCAGUUUUCAUGGUAAAUGUGUUACUGGACUCAAAUGCUUCAAAGAUCUGAAUAUAAAGACAACAUAAAACAUG